GACGAACGCUGGCGGCGUGCUUAACACAUGCAAGUCGAACGGAAAGGCCCUGCUUUUGUGGGGUGCUCGAGUGGCGAACGGGUGAGUAACACGUGAGUAACCUGCCCUUGACUUUGGGAUAACUUCAGGAAACUGGGGCUAAUACCGGAUAGGAGCUCCUGCUGCAUGGUGGGGGUUGGAAAGUUUCGGCGGUUGGGGAUGGACUCGCGGCUUAUCAGCUUGUUGGUGGGGUAGUGGCUUACCAAGGCUUUGACGGGUAGCCGGCCUGAGAGGGUGACCGGCCACAUUGGGACUGAGGUACGGCGCAGACUCCUACGGGAGGCAGCAGUGGGGAAUAUUGCACAGUGGGCGGAAGCCUAAUGCAGCAACGCCGCGUGCGGGAUGACGGCCUUCGGGUUGUAAACCGCUUUCGCCUGUGACGAAGCGUGAGUGACGGUAAUGGGUAAAGAAGCACCGGCUAACUACGUG
rnacentral:rRNA from 1 species